GGAGUUAUGAAAUGUAAGUGCGCUAAUAUCGCAUUUAUUUGACAAAGGCUCCAAAGGAAGCCACGGCUAACUCUGUGCCAGCAGCCGCGGUAAUACAGAGGUGGCAAGCGUUGUUCGGAAUUAUUGGGCGUAAAGAGCACGUAGGUGGGUUUGUAAGUCAGAUGUGAAAGCCUUCUGUUCAACGGAAGAAUUGCAUCUGAAACUGUGAAUCUUGAGUGUAGGAGGGGAGAGUGGAACUUCUGGU
rnacentral:rRNA from 1 species